GUGAUUUAUGAAUGUGCAACGCGUGGAAUUAAAUUGUUUGACCAUGCCUUCCUUGUUUAAGUAAAACUAAGUAGUUGUGGCAGCUUUGGAUGAGAGAACCCAAUUCCUGGUAAAUUGGACACCAUCAAUGAGUUCGUCGAGUUUGAUUGAACUCUCAUACUUUGAACAUGCUCUAUUGAAAGCAAGGCCAUCCCUGUCAUAACAGGCUGUUCCCGCCGAUGCUGCUGUUCAUGCCGUACCCCCAGUGCCUAGCAUCACCGGCAACAAGUUCAGCGUUGUCCGACAAGGUGUCCUGCAGGGACAACCUCCGUCGACCUGUCACCGAACUUCACUUGUGUGUCUUGUGUCGGGCGAGGGAGAGGGACGAUGUGCAUACGGGGUUGCAGUGCAGAGGCGCCGGUGGUUUCAAGUUGCAGGGCUGGGAGAAAUUUCACGGCAACCAGGAGUAACAAUACUUUUGGUUACUUGGGAAUACGAUGAUGUUCUGGUGACGUGGAACAUGCUGAGAUUUGGACUUCAAUCCUUGAUUGUGCACGGGGAUUUCCGAAACAAGCAGAAGACUAAUAACUUAUACGACAUCAAAGAUCUCUGAGAUUUUAGAGGCCGCCGCCGUUGCUGAACACAAACGGGGCUCGGAGCAGGCCAAACUCUGAUGUGGACCGGGCAACGGAUCGUGGAGAGGCGCCCAAGGAUUUUUUUUGCUUCUGUUGAUUGUGCCAUCCAAUUGGUUUAGAAUUUUCACCAUUGCUAAUUACUAGGGGAGUAUGGGUGCCGGACCUGAAUGCAUUUCCACAAUAGAGAUGGGAAAUGGAUAAAUCGUUGUCGUCCUUCAGUGAGCAGCCGAGGAGGAGCUCCUCCAUGCUGAUGAUGUGGAAGACAGAUACCCUGUCCGCGACGCCCGGUUCUGGCCUCAUAUACAUUGACUUCCUAUGUCAUCAGCAAAUGCAGUGGAGAAGAAGCCAGUUCACCACAUGAUCAUUUAUUUUGUUAUUGUUUUUUUACUAUUCCCUGUUCCAUGUAUAAUCAGAAAAAAUAAAACUCCUCCUUUCGGCCCAUACUAGGAGUCUGGAAGUGAUACUUUUGUGAGGAGUGCUGGAACAUGACUGGAUCAAGUGAGACAGAGAACGAUGGAUGAAAGAAAGAGAUCAGAAACGGGAUUCACUCUUGACCACCUCAUA